CUGCGGCUUAAUUUGACCCAACGCGGGAAAACUCACCAGGUCAGGACACGGUAAGGAUUGACGGACUGAAGGCUCUUUCUCGAUUCCGUGGAAAGUGGUGCAUGGCCGUUUUUGGUUGGUGGAUCGAUCCGUCUGGUUAAUUCCGUUAACGAACGAGACCUCGGCACUCCGAAUAGCGCGGCGGACGUCGCGGCCUCCGGGCCGUCUUCCGCACGAGCUUCUUAGAGGGACCGUCCCCCGCCGGGGAAGGAGGUGCGAGGCAACGACAGGUCUGUGAUGCCCUUAGAUGUUCUGGGCCGCACGCGCAUUACACUGACGCGUCCAACGGGUGACUCCCGACCCGAAGGGGCCGGGGAAUCCGCAAGGCGCGUCGUGAUGGGGAUUGAACGUUGCAAUUGUUGUUCACGAACGAGGAAUUCCUAGUAGGCGCGGGUCAUCAACCCGCGCCGAUUACGUCCCUGCCCUUUGUACACACCG
rnacentral:rRNA from 1 species